rnacentral:rRNA from 1 species
AUUGAACGCUGGCGGGAUGCUUUACACAUGCAAGUCGGACGGCAGCACGGACUUCGGUCUGGUGGCGAGUGGCGAACGGGUGAGUAAUGUAUCGGAACGUGCCUAGUAGCGGGGGAUAACUACGCGAAAGCGUGGCUAAUACCGCAUACGCCCUACGGGGGAAAGCGGGGGACCUUCGGGCCUCGCACUAUUAGAGCGGCCGAUAUCGGAUUAGCUAGUUGGUGGGGUAACGGCUCACCAAGGCGACGAUCCGUAGCUGGUUUGAGAGGACGACCAGCCACACUGGGACUGAGACACGGCCCAGACUCCUACGGGAGGCAGCAGUGGGGAAUUUUGGACAAUGGGGGCAACCCUGAUCCAGCCAUCCCGCGUGUGCGAUGAAGGCCUUCGGGUUGUAAAGCACUUUUGGCAGGAAAGAAACGGCGCCAGAUAAUACCUGGUGCUAAUGACGGUACCUGCAGAAUAAGCACCGGCUAACUACGUG